UUGAGGCGUGGCUUCCGGAGCUAACGCGUUAAGUCGACCGCCUGGGGAGUACGGCCGCAAGGUUAAAACUCAAAUGAAUUGACGGGGGCCCGCACAAGCGGUGGAGCAUGUGGUUUAAUUCGAUGCAACGCGAAGAACCUUACCUACUCUUGACAUCCAGAGAACUUUCCAGAGAUGGAUUGGUGCCUUCGGGAACUCUGAGACAGGUGCUGCAUGGCUGUCGUCAGCUCGUGUUGUGAAAUGUUGGGUUAAGUCCCGCAACGAGCGCAACCCUUAUCCUUUGUUGCCAGCGGUCCGGCCGGGAACUCAAAGGAGACUGCCAGUGAUAAACUGGAGGAAGGUGGGGAUGACGUCAAGUCAUCAUGGCCCUUACGAGUAGGGCUACACACGUGCUACAAUGGCGCAUACAAAGAGAAGCGAACUCGCGAGAGCAAGCGGACCUCAUAAAGUGCGUCGUAGUCCGGAUUGGAGUCUGCAACUCGACUCCAUGAAGUCGGAAUCGCUAGUAAUCGUAGAUCAGAAUGCUACGGUGAAUACGUUCCCGGGCCUUGCACUCACCGCCCGUCAA
rnacentral:rRNA from 1 species